UCUGAGUCCUGAUCCAGGCAGCAGAAGGUGGAUCAAACCUGGCAGAGCACACCUGCGGGCAGUAAGAUGACUCAACAGCAACUAUUGGGUGUGCCUGUUAGGAGUGGACACCCUGAGUGUGAGUAAUAGCCCUGUUGCCAUGGCGACCUACCAACUGGGACCCAUCGCAGUCAUGUGCCGCUGUUGCCGCUCAACUCAAGUUCUGCUACUUGGUUCCCCCCCGCUUACAACCACGAGCGCGCCUCUUCGCUCCGUUCCACGUUUUCCCUGGAAGCGGCGGGGUCGGAGUUCACGUCGGCGCUCGACACCCCGCGGCCUUCGAGGAACGGCGGCGGCGGCAAAGGACAACAAACGCCAGCGCAGCUGCGCUGACGCGGGAGGGAGAGAAGUGUGAUUGGCUGUGGGAAAAAGGAGGUGA